UGGCUCGUUGGUCAAAUGGCUAAGACUCCACACUUUCACGGUGGAGUUACAAGUUCAAUUCUUGUACGAGCUAU
rnacentral:tRNA from 1 species